AUUCGACCCACCAUGUGUUUUAAAUUUUAUUUAUCUAAAUUUUAUACAGAAAAGCUCAACCUAUUGAUAUCAUUUUCCUAAUAAGCGAGCUGUGCAGGACUACCAGAAACUGGUAAACAAUACUCGAGAUGCUGGCGUCGAGUAACUGUUGUGCAUUUGUUUUCAAUGCUUUCAACACGCUUGAUCUCCCGGCCCGCAUAUACAAGAAAGUGAUCCAUUCGGCAGUGUUGAUUGCUAUCAAAGACAUACCGCUGUGGCCACGGAUGUGGCAGUACCAUCGACGACAGUAGCAGCACCGACGAAGGAGCAGUGCGAAAUAGUGCGAUUAAUGAUGAUCUUGGCCACCAUGUGCACACUACUUUGACGAGAACAUUCGCCGCGACUAUGUUUGGAUGGCACGGAGAUAGAUAGAAAUGCAACGGAGAACGCUUUAGCAAAACACCAGCCAAGUGCUUCACAACAGUAAUGAAAAUCGUUAUUUCCAAGAUUUCACACCUAUCCAGUUCCACCCGUUCCAGUCAUUGAAACCGUCAUCGGAAGAAUGUCGUGUGAAUCAACAUAACCAUGGAACUCAGCUGAUUCAAAACCCUUAGGAUGACCCAGUAAGUUUGCGAGAAGUAUGUCCCGUCUGGUGUAUGUCAGCUGGCCAGCCAGACCUGAUCAAGGGUCUGAUGCAUCGGACAGUUAGCUGGAAGGCAUGAUAAUGUGAUGUACAUCGGUAAAUUCAUAUGCUAAUAUUAUUUGGUUUAAUGAACACAUUGAUUAAAUAAAACAGAUAUAUUUAUAUUUA